CGGAGGCGAGCAUGGGGAAUAUUGCACAAUGGGCGCAAGCCUGAUGCAGCGACGCCGCGUGCGGGAUGGAGGCCUUCGGGUUGUAAACCGCUUUUGUUCAAGGGCAAGGCAGGCUUUCGGGCCUGUUGAGUGGAUUGUUCGAAUAAGCACCGGCUAACUACGUGCC
rnacentral:rRNA from 1 species